GACGAACGCUGGCGGCGUGCUUAACACAUGCAAGUCGAACGGAAAGGCCCUGCUUUUGUGGGGUGCUCGAGUGGCGAACAGGUGAGUAACACGUGAGUAACCUGCCCUUGACUUUGGGAUAACUUCAGGAAACUGGGGCUAAUACCGGAUAGGAGCUCCUGCUGCAUGGUGGGGGUUGGAAAGUUUCGGCGGUUGGGGAUGGACUCGCGGCUUAUCAGCUUGUUGGUGGGGUAGUGGCUUACCAAGGCUUUGACGGGUAGCCGGCCUGAGAGGGUGACCGGCCACAUUGGGACUGAGAUACGGCCCAGACUCCUACGGGAGGCAGCAGUGGGGAAUAUUGCACAAUGGGCGGAAGCCUGAUGCAGCAACGCCGCGUGAGGGAUGACGGCCUUCGGGUUGUAAACCGCUUUCGCCUGUGACGAAGCGUGAGUGACGGUAAUGGGUAAAGAAGCACCGGCUAACUACGUG
rnacentral:rRNA from 1 species